UGGGUCGGCACACUUCCCUUACAUGCCAACGGGGGACAACGUGUUGAACACACCAGCAUGGGGACUUCAUAUCACUCCGCGUGCGCCAGAGCAGGGCCACACACAGCACACAUACGAUGAGUACGGUUCGGCGUCGACGCAUCACGGAGUGCCUGCUUACUCCCCUCGCACAGCAUUCAUUGAGGACUUCUUUUCCACUGAUCCUCCCCAGGGGGAAGUAGGGAUGGAUUACUGGCACGCAGCACCUCAGGUCACACAGCCGACGCAGGAGACGGAGGCCGGUCAGGGGCCAGACGUGACACCACAGCAGGCAGCUAGAGAUAGGCACCCCCUGAUAAUUUGACAUAUCCCACUGAGCAGAUUAGGCGUAGGAAGAAGGGAGGACCUAGCAAGCGUGCGAAGGGCACUGAUCGUCCUUGACUUAUCUAUUUGUAUUAAACUUUUAGUCAUUUAUGUUCUGUCCGUACUAUUUGAGAAACACUUUACGAUUAACUUAGUACUAUCAGUACUAUUUCAUAAA